rnacentral:rRNA from 1 species
CUGGGAUUAGAUACCCCACUAUGCUUAGCCCUAAACAUAGAUAAACCACCUACAUUUGUUUAUCCGCCCGGGUACUACGAGCAUUAGCUUGAAACCCAAAGGACUUGGCGGUACUUCAAACCCAUCUAGAGGAGCCUGUCCUAUAACCGAUAAUCCCCGUUAAACCUCACCCUUCCUUGUUCCCCCCCCCGCCUAUAUACCGCCGUCGCAAGCUUACCCUGUGAAGGAAUAGAAGUAAGCUCAAUUGGCACUGCCCAGAACGUCAGGUCGAGGUGUAGCUUAUGGAAGGGGAAGAGAUGGGCUACAUUCCCUGAUUCAGGGCAUACGGACAAUGCGCUGAAACGCGCAUUCGAAGGCGGAUUUAGUAGUAAGUAAAGAAUAGAGUGCUCUGCUGAAAAAGGCUCUGAAGUGUGUACACCCCGCCCGUC